rnacentral:miRNA from 1 species
AGGACGGGAGGAGAGUAGGGCG